rnacentral:rRNA from 1 species
AUUGAACGCUGGCGGCAUGCUUUACACAUGCAAGUCGAACGGCAGCGCGGGCUUCGGCCUGGCGGCGAGUGGCGAACGGGUGAGUAAUGCAUCGGAACGUGCCCAGUAGUGGGGGAUAGCCCGGCGAAAGCCGGAUUAAUACCGCAUACGACCUGAGGGUGAAAGCGGGGGACCGAAAGGCCUCGCGCUAUUGGAGCGGCCGAUGUCGGAUUAGCUAGUUGGUGGGGUAAAGGCUUACCAAGGCGACGAUCCGUAGCUGGUCUGAGAAGACGACCAGCCACACUGGGACUGAGACACGGCCCAGACUCCUACGGGAGGCAGCAGUGGGGAAUUUUGGACAAUGGGGGCAACCCUGAUCCAGCCAUGCCGCGUGCGGGAAGAAGGCCUGCGGGUUGUAAACCGCUUUUGUUCGGGAAGAAAUCCUCUGGGCUAAUACCCCGGGGGGAUGACGGUACCGGAAGAAUAAGCACCGGCUAACUACGU